rnacentral:rRNA from 1 species
UGGGGAAUAUUGGACAAUGGGCGCAAGCCUGACCCAGCAACGCCGCGUGCGCGAUGAAGGCCUUCGGGUUGUAAAGCGCUUUUAAGUGGGAUGAGGAAGGACAGUACCACUAGAAUAAGUCUCGGCUAACUACGUGCCAGCAGCCGCGGUAACACGUAGGAGACGAGCGUUAUCCGGAUUUACUGGGUGUAAAGCGCGUGCAGGCGGUUUGGAAAGUUGGAUGUGAAAGCUCCUGGCUUAACUGGGAGAGGUCGUUCAAAACUACCAGACUAGAGUACAGCAGAGGGGAGUGGAAUUCCGAGUGUAGCGGUAAAAUGCAUAGAUAUUCGGAAGAACACCAGUGGCGAAGGCGGCUCCCUGGGCUGAAACUGACGCUCAGACGCGAAAGCUAGGGUAGCGAACG